GUCCAUGCCUUAAACGAUGUAUACUAGGAGUAGGAGGGCUCAACCCCCCCUGUUCCGGAGCUAACGCAUUAAGUAUACCGCCUGGGGAGUACACUCGCAAGGGUGAAACUCAAAAGAAUUGACGGGGGCCCGCACAAGCAGUGGAGCAUGUGGUUUAAUUCGAUGCAACGCGAAGAACCUUACCUGGGCUCGAAAUGUAGAGGACGACAUCAGAGAUGAUGUUUCUCGAAGGGUCUCUAUAUAGGUGCUGCAUGGCUGUCGU
rnacentral:rRNA from 1 species